rnacentral:rRNA from 1 species
UACGUAGGGUGCAAGCGUUGUCCGGAAUUACUGGGCGUAAAGCGCACGUAGGCGGCUUUGUAAGUUAGAGGUGAAAGCCCGGAGCUCAACUCCGGAAUUGCCUUUAAGACUGCAUCGCUCGAAUCAUGGAGAGGUGAGUGGAAUUCCGAGUGUAGAGGUGAAAUUCGUAGAUAUUCGGAAGAACACCAGUGGCGAAGGCGACUCACUGGACAUGUAUUGACGCUGAGGUGCGAAAGCGUGGGGAGCAAACAGGG